UGGAUCCAGACUUUGUUAUGGCUCAGGACGAACGCUGGCGGCGUGCCUAAUACAUGCAAGUCGAGCGAGCUUGCCUAGAUGAUUUUAGUGCUUGCACUAAAUGAAACUAGAUACAAGCGAGCGGCGGACGAGUGAGUAACACGUGGGUAACCUGCCCAAGAGACUGGGAUAACACCUGGAAACAGAUGCUAAUACCGGAUAACAACACUAGACGCAUGUCUAGAGUUUGAAAGAUGGUUCUGCUAUCACUCUUGGAUGGACCUGCGGUGCAUUAGCUAGUUGGUAAGGUAACGGCUUACCAAGGCAAUGAUGCAUAGCCGAGUUGAGAGACUGAUCGGCCACAUUGGGACUGAGACACGGCCCAAACCCCUACGGGAGGCAGCAGUAGGGAAUCUUCCACAAUGGACGAAAGUCUGAUGGAGCAACGCCGCGUGAGUGAAGAAGGGUUUCGGCUCGUAAAGCUCUGUUGGUAGUGAAGAAAGAUAGAGGUAGUAACUGGCCUUUAUUUGACGGUAAUUACUUAGAAAGUCACGGCUAACUACGUGCCAGCAGCCGCGGUAAUACGUAGGUGGCAAGCGUUGUCCGGAUUUAUUGGGCGUAAAGCGAGUGCAGGCGGUUCAAUAAGUCUGAUGUGAAAGCCUUCGGCUCAACCGGAGAAUUGCAUCAGAAACUGUUGAACUUGAGUGCAGAAGAGGAGAGUGGAACUCCAUGUGUAGCGGUGGAAUGCGUAGAUAUAUGGAAGAACACCAGUGGCGAAGGCGGCUCUCUGGUCUGCAACUGACGCUGAGGCUCGAAAGCAUGGGUAGCGAACAGGAUUAGAUACCCUGGUAGUCCAUGCCGUAAACGAUGAGUGCUAAGUGUUGGGAGGUUUCCGCCUCUCAGUGCUGCAGCUAAAGCAGUAAGCACUCCGCCUGGGGAGUACGACCGCAAGG
rnacentral:rRNA from 1 species